rnacentral:tRNA from 1 species
GCCUCCGUAGCAUAGUGGCUAAUGCACCUGACUUGUAAUCAGGAGAUCCCGGUUUCGAAUACCGGCGGAGGCU